rnacentral:rRNA from 1 species
UACAGAGGGGGCAAGCGUUGUUCGGAAUUACUGGGCGUAAAGGGCGCGUAGGCGGCCUGCUAAGUCGAACGUGAAAUCCCCGGGCUCAACCCGGGAACUGCGUCCGAUACUGGCAGGCUUGAAUCCGGGAGAGGGAUGUGGAAUUCCAGGUGUAGCGGUGAAAUGCGUAGAUAUCUGGAGGAACACCGGUGGCGAAGGCGGCAUCCUGGACCGGCACUGACGCUGAGACACGAAAGCGUGGGUAGCAAACAGG